CCCUAGCCCUGAUUGAAACGACAUCCUUUUGGGUUGCGGGCGAAGCGAAGCGGAGCCUGUAACCCAAAAGAUACAGUACUUCGGCAGGCUCAGCA
rnacentral:sRNA from 1 species